UGAUGUAAAUAAUAUAAAUGUAACAACUAAAUGUAACUGUAACAAAGGUAACAAACAAUGGUGUUCUUUCAAUUUAUCCCCCCUAAAAAACCUGAAAAAAAUAUUCUCAGCUCUUUUCAACAUUAAUAAUAAUAAUGAUAAUAAUAACAAUAAAUGUUUUUUUGUAGAAAAUAAGAUUGUUAAAAGGAUUUCUGAAGGAUUGUUGGAUAUUAAAUUAUGUUGUGGGAUAAUUAAAUAUAUUCUUAAUAAACUACAAACAUAAAAUUA